rnacentral:rRNA from 1 species
AGGGACUUCGGUCCCCGAGUAAAGUGGCAGACGGGUGAGUAACACGUGGGUAACCUGCCCUCGAGUGGGGAAUAACCCAGGGAAACUUGGGCUAAUACCGCAUGACAUCGCCUCCUCCCUGGGGGGGGUGAUUAAAGGUGGGGAUCGAGAGACCUACCGCUUGAGGAGGGGCCUGCGCCUGAUUAGCUUGUUGGUGGGGUAACGGCCUACCAAGGCUGCGAUCAGUAGCCGGCCUGAGAGGGUGAUCGGCCACACUGGAACUGAGACACGGUCCAGACUCCUACGGGAGGCAGCAGUGAGGAAUCUUGCGCAAUGGGGGAAACCCUGACGCAGCAACGCCGCGUGGGUGAUGAAGGCCUUCGGGUCGUAAAACCCUGUCAGGUGGGAAGAAAUGGUGGCGGGCCAAUACCCCGUCAUCUUGACUGUACCACCAGAGGAAGCCCCGGCUAACUCCGUGCCAGCAGCCGCGGUAAUACGGAGGGGGCCAGCGUUGUUCGGAAUUAUUGGGCGUAAAGGGCGCGUAGGCGGCCGCGCAAGUCAGUUGUGAAAUCCCCUGGCUUACCCAGGGAACUGCUUCUGAUACUGCGUGGCUUGAGUCCGGGAGAGGAGAGUGGAAUUCCCAGUGUAGCGGUGGAAUGCGUAGAUAUUGGGAGGAACACCAGUGGCGAAGGCGGCUCUCUGGACCGGUACUGACGCUGAGGCGCGAAAGCUAGGGGAGCAAACAGGAUUAGAUACCCU